rnacentral:lncRNA from 1 species
AAUAAAUGAACAUCAAUGGUUAAUCUUAUAUACACACAACUCGAGCCUUGUGGAAAAAAUACCUAGAAAAAAUUAGAAAGAUGGCUGAAGAUAAGAGAAACGAGAUUCAAGAUCUGUCUAAAUCCAUCACUCCAAGUGAAGAACCUGCUAAAGGUAAUUAAGAGAUGAAAACUAUCUUAUCUACAAAUGUUUCACCAUGUUUGUUUGUGUCCUUUUUUCUUUUAAAAGUUUUUCAUAUUACAUAGGGAAAUUGGGGAAUGAGGUCGUCCUUACCUAAAACACUUACACAUACGACUAGAUUAUAACGCUUAAUUAGUCAUCAUGUUGAUUUGCAUUACGAAGACCUUUAAUGGAAUUAGUGGACUCACAUUAUCCAUUAGAAUUAUAGAAAUGUUCUUAGAUAAUUAUCCUGGUUGAUAACUCAAGAAUAGUAUAUUGUUCCGCAAAUCAUGUCUAUACAUUCAUAACUUGCAUACAUUUCUUUAAUGUAUAAACUAUUGAAAUUUCUUUUACAUGAUUUUUAUGGAACUGUUUUGAUGAGAACUGGAGAAAUAUUUUAUUGUUUUAAAUUUUGUGAUGCAAGAAUCACUCAGAAGAAUAUUUUGGGAGUUUCCUUAGAUUUCUGAGAAGGAUUCAUAACCUCUGGUGGUUUAUGUUAACCCGAAACUAUUCGUGUCAGAGUAGGAGAUUAGUAUACCGUUGAUUCGGGCACUAUGACAGAAGUGCCCUGAUAAGGCACAAGAACGCGAGCAUACUUACACUGAUACCACUAGACUUAUAACCCUUAAUUAGUCGUCAUGUUGAUUUCAUUAUUAAGAUCUUGUUCUCUUUUUUCAUUUUUCGCAAAAUGAUUUGGGUACGUAUAUGAAGGAGAGCCUUAACGUAACUGGUAAAGUUGUUGGCAUGUGACUAGGAGGUCAUGGGUUCGAGUCGUACGUGGAAGCAGGCUCUUGCAGAAAUAAUGUAGGGUAAGGUUGCGUACAAUAGACCCUUGUGGUCCGGCCCCUCCCCGAACCCUGCGCAUAGCGGGAGCUUAGUUAGCGCAGCGGGCUGCCCUUUGAUUUGGGUAUGUAUAUGCCGAGGGUCUAUCGGAAACAGUCUCUCUAUCUCACAUAAGAUAGGAGUAAGGUUGUGUACGUCCCACUCUCCUCAGACCUCACUUAAGAGGUUACACUGGAUAUAUUAUUGUUGUUGAUUCGGGUAUGUCUAUGUUUUCAUUUUUGUCGGGAUUAGAAAAUGCUAAAGAUCAAGGGCUAGUGGAGAAAGAUGAAGCAGCAAAUGCUCAAGACGAGGGGUUGGCGCACGUAGUUGUAAGAGCAAAAAUGCCAAAACCUCCCGGCAAACGACCUCCUCCAACGACUGGUUGAACUGAAAUAAUAUAAGCCUAAUUGGAAAUUUCAAAUUUUAAGUGUUGUACAUUUAAAGUAAUUAACCAGAUGUAAUUGGUUAAUUGCUUUUUUAAUUUCUUCGUGUGUGUUUUUGUUCUUGCUCGUCCUUAUGAUUUCUUAUUUGUACUUUGAUCUUUAU